rnacentral:rRNA from 1 species
CACGUAUUUAGCCGGGGCUUCCUCCUAUGAUACCGUCAUUAUCUUCUCAUAGGGCAGAGCUUUACGAUUCGAAAACCUUCUUCGCUCACGCGGCGUCGCUGCAUCAGGGUUCCCCCCAUUGUGCAAUAUUCCCCACUGCUGCCUCCCGUAGGAGUUUGGACCGUGUCUCAGUUCCAAUGUGGCCGUUCAUCCUCUCAGACCGGCUACUGAUCGUCGCCUUGGUAGGCCUUUACCCUCAACUAGCUAAUCAGACGCGAGCCCUUCUUACACCGAUAAAUCUUUGACCCCUAUAUCAUGCGAUUCUGUGGUCUCAUGCGGUAUUAAUCGUCGUUUCCAACGGCUAUCCCCCUGUGUAAGGUAGGUUGCUCACGUGUUACUCACCGUUCGCCUACUUUCAUUUCAUUUCCAUUCCCGAAAGUAAUUUCCAACAAAAUCACGUUCGACUUGCAUGUGUUAAGCACGCCGCCAGCGUUCGUCCUGUAGCCAGGAUACGAAACUCU